rnacentral:rRNA from 1 species
AGCAGUAGCCGCGGUAAUACGUAGGUCCCGAUCGUUGUCCGGAUUUAUUGGGCGUAAAGCGAGCGCAGGCGGUUAGAUAAGUCUGAAGUUAAAGGCUGUGGCUUAACCAUAGUACGCUUUGGAAACUGUUUAACUUGAGUGCAAGAGGGGAGAGUGGAAUUCCAUGUGUAGCGGUGAAAUGCGUAGAUAUAUGGAGGAACACCGGUGGCGAAAGCGGCUCUCUGGCUUGUAACUGACGCUGAGGCUCGAAAGCGUGGGGAGCAAACAGGAUUAGAUACCCCAGUAGUCCCUGUCUCUUAUACA